AAAUGGAGAACAGCUGCUCACGCUCGUCGUCUGACAUCAGCUAUUUCUCAGGAUGACCCUGCGAGACAGGCCAGGGUCAUUAGACCCAAUUUGGUUCUCAGCAAAUAUGUGUUUAUUCCUGCAUGCGUGGGCCACAGGCUGGUUUCUUGGGUGCAAUGAAUAGCUGCAGGUUUAUUAGGGUGUCUUUUUAGAUGGAUGUAUGUUUCCCGAUGUCUAUAGAACACUCCGGACCCCGGAGAGUGAAGACUCUGCCUGUCGGACUUGCUUUGAGAAGAUCCUUCUCCACCUCCCCAUGGCAGAAGUUGCUUCACAGAGGGGAACAGUUUUAUGGAUGUGGCUGAGACCUUAAACUUGAGGCAACCCAUCUGAGGUGGCAUCCAGAGGAGACUGGCUGGCCCCUCCUUCACCUUGGAUGUAGUGCUGUUUCUAGGAUCUCUUUUCAAUCAGCAAAACAGGGGAUGUUCCAAGAGGGUGUGGAUUCCCUGCCAUCCCACAUGGUCAAGUGGAGGGGACGGGAAAAAGCUAUGAAGGGUUUGUGACCACACAGACUCUCCUGGCCCCCUGUCCUUUUGGAAAGAAGACAGGGAUGAAAUAUAAUCAAGCAAUUAACCACCCCCAUCAUCACCAAGAACAACAGUAUCAACAAGAAGAACAGGGACAACAAAACCCACGGAUGAAACAUUCCUUUCUCAGCUCAGAUCUUAUCUGGUGCGUUCUCUCUCUGCUCUGUCUUGGUGUGUGGUUUAGAGAAACAUGGACAACGCUGUUUGGAAGAACAGGUGAGCGAGGGUGGGGAAUUUCAGAGGCCUGGGCCCACCGCCUCCACCCCUUCCCCAGUUUAACCUUUGACAGGAUCUUCACCUCUCUCUGAUCAGCAUUGCUUCUUGUUCAAAGGCCUCAGCCACCCAGCUGUGUCCCUUUCCCCAGAAAGCAAGGGCAGAUGGCAGUGGGUCUGUUGAUGAGAGAACUUUAAGGGCCCAAUCAGUCCCUGGGCACCCCCUCCUGGGCUCGUUUUCUCCAGGAGGCUGCAUUCUGAUCCAUAAACCUUCUCCUCGGGGUUUAGGGUCGAGCUGUUCCUGAUGUUUAUCGGAGACUGGGAUCAAAGCUAUCCAGGUCAUAAAUCUCUCUCUGUGGCUGUUGGGCCCCAGGGCAGCUGAAGAGGGUUGACAGCCCUUUGGACCUCAAAGGAAAAAAUGUGCUCUACUCCACCCACUCCCAGCUCUGCCAAGAAGCUGUCCUCUGAGAAGCCAUGGCUGGGCCGUUCCAUUCUGGGGAGCUGCUGAAAAGAGCUGGGAGGCCGAGAAGAACUUGCGUGUGCUGGGGGAGAGGAAGCCUGGCCUUGAGGGAGGGGUGCAGGUGUGGCUCCUCUGUGUGUGGGGGCUGGGGGACCUUGUGUGCCUUUUCCUUGUGGCUGUGAAAUGCUUUAUGAGUACUUCCAUAGGAGGAUGGACAGGGAGUCGGGGAGAUAAACUCAGCCACAAGGCCCCAGGGCCUCAGGAAACUUGCACCCAACCCUCUCAUUUUACAGAAGAAAACUGUGCCUGGAAGGUUGAAGGGUUUGUUCCCAGUCACACAACCAGGGAUCCUUAGGACAGCCAGACCAGGAAACCAUUUCCAAACUGCCAAGCCAUGGCAGAGUAUCAAGACCUCAGGAACCAUCGAGACACCAUGGAAGCAUUGGGAAAAGCCUCCUUAGCUUUUGAAGCUCCUCAUUGUUCUUGAGUGUGCAUGGAGCCCAUGACUGCGGGGUUUUGUAGACACCUCAGGGAUUACAUGACUGGUACCCCUGACAAAGUCAAGGCUGCUGGACAAAAUGAGUCCGAGGAUUUCAGGGGCAGCUGGGCGCAGGAGCUGGUGGGCUGUUGGGAGUGCCCCUUUACUGGGCAGGCUUCCUUCCUCCUGGUGAUGGGGGGUUCCUCAGCACAAAAGUGAAGGGGUGGAGGGGCUGGAGGAGCAGGAAUCUCUCUUGUUGAUAGGUAUGAGGCCUUGAAGUCCUUUUCUUUGUCCCAGGAUUCAUGGACGCUUCGGGGCUGAUCUUUGAGUUUUCAAGCAUGGGGUGCAGAGACGUUUAGGUAAACUCUUACCGUCCUCUCUCUUCGUCAGGGCUUCCCAGGAAUCAACAAUGCCCAAGAAGGAAGGGAUUGUAGAAAUAGCUUAACCCUUUCAUUUACCAACGUGGAAAUUGAAGCCCAGGGAAGGGAAGGGACCGGUCGUGGAAGGGAGAGCCAUCAGCAGAAAGAGACCCUGAGAUCUUCGCCUGGGAUUCCCAGGAAGUCCAGCCCGAGCUGAUUCACAGAACAAAUGCAUGCAAACCUUGCUAUCAAUAAAUUACACAUGCACUUACGUAAAACACAUAAAAAUAUAUGGCCUUGGUUUUGGAACAAUACCCCACAGAUAAAAGUAGCUUUAAAUCCUCCAUAAAAUGAUAAAGUCUAGUCCUAAACUCCUAGCAGUUCUGCGGGUGAUCACAGGCGGCAGGAGCCGCUCAAACUUUAAUGGCUUGGUAUCUCCACAUGUAGACAGGAGGCAGAAAACCAUCGGGGAUGAAGUCGUGGGCUCUAGAAUUGCAAAGACGUGGGUUCCAGGCCAGGCUUGGCCCUUGCUAACUGUUGACCUUGAGCAAAUUACCCAACCUGUUCCUUAUUUGUUUCUGCCUCAUAGGUAGUUGUGCAGAUGAAAUGAUAUCAGUUCUCAGAACAGUGCUGGGGACAGAGUACACUCUAUGCUCAAUACAUAUUCACUUUUAGAGAUAUCUUGGGAUUCUCAGUCUAAGUGACAUUCAAAAGUACCUCACUGGGAGGCAAGACCAAGGUGGAGCCUCCUCUUGGAUGGGAUGUGGGCCUAUUUUAUUUUACUUCUUUAUUUUUGUAGGUGCAUGCCACCACACUUGCUAAUUAAUUUUUUUUUUUUUUUUUUGUAGAGAUGGGGUCUCACUAUGUUGCUCAGGCUGGUCUUAAACUCCUGGCCUCAAGCAAUCCUCCUGCCUCAGCCUCCCACAGUGCUGGGAUUACAGGCAUGAACCACUGAGCCCGGCACCUCUAUUUUAAAUCUAUUUUAUCUUUUGAGAUAUAGUCUUGCUCUGUCACCCAGGCUGGAGUGCAGUGGCGCGAUCUCAGCUCCCUGUAACCUCUGCCUCUCGGGUUCAAGCAAUUCUUCUGCCUCAACCUCCCAAGUAGCUGGGACUACAGGCGCCCGCCACCACGCCUGUCUAAUUUUUUGUAUUUUUAGUAGAGACAGGGUUUCACCAUGUUAGCCAGGAUGGUCUUGAACUCCUGACCUCGUGAUCUGCCUGCCUCGGCCUCCCAAAGUGCUGGGAUUACAGGCGUAAGCCACUGCACCCGGCUAUUUUAAAUCUACAGACAAAUCACCCAUGAAGUGCAGUGGGGGAAUAGAGGGCUGGGCUCAGUUAAUUCAGAAGAAGAUUUAUCCCAGGAUCAGGAAAUGAGAGUUUCAGAUGUUGCCAGUAGCUUAAGUGGCUUUUAGGGCCUUUUUUCUGUCUGGCCAGGGCUCAUCCUGGGCUGAGCUUUAAGGCCUGUUAGGGGCUGAAUUCUGUCCCCCUCAAAGUUUAUAUGUUGAACUCAUAACCCCAGUACCUUAGACUGUGACUGUAUUUGGAGAUAGGGUCUCUAAAGAGGUAAUUAGGUUAAAAUGAGGUCACUAGGGUGGGCCCUAGUCCAAUAGAAAUGUGUCCUUGUUGGAUAAGGGGCAACGUGGACACAGACACGUGCAGAGGGGAGCCCCUGUGAAGAAGCGGGGAGAAGACAGUCACCUGCAAGCCACAGACGGGGCCUGUGAAGGAACCAAUCCUGUCAAUACCUUGGUCUUGGUCUUGGCCUUCCAGCCUCCAAAACCCAGAGGCCAUCAAUUUCUGGUGAGGCAGCCCUAGCCGCCUUUCUAAGCGUUCAUACUCCUGGUUUGGCAGAGGGGAAGGGACCACGGCCAGCGCUUCUUAAACCUUCGUGUGUGUGAAACUCACUUCCUGGGGAGCUGGAUCAAGAUGCAGAUUCUAUGACCAUCUAGUUUCCCCUUUCUCAUCCCUUAUCUAAUUUGCUCCUCUGUGGAACUGUGUGAAGUAGACAGGGCAAGAAUUUUCAUCCCCAUUUUCCAGAUUAAGAAACUGAGUCUCAGAUGGAAGAAUCACAGCAAGUGAGAGGCAGUCAAGCCUCCAACUCAGGUCAAGUGAGGCGUCCUCACAUCCCAUGCCCCCCGUAAUUUCCCGAUCCCUAGCAGGGGCACCUGGGGAGACUCCCUGGUGAUGCUGUGUCAGGACUCCCUUCUUUAUUUUGAGACAGAGUUUCACUCUUGUCACCCAGGCUGGAGUGCAGUGGUGUGAUCUCAGCUCAUUGCAACCUCCACCUCCCAGGUUCAAGCAAUUCUCCUGCCUCAGCCUCCCAAGUAGCUGGGAUUAUAGGUGCCUGCCACCAUGCCUGGCUAAUUUUUGUAUUUUUAGUUGAGACGGGGUUUCACCAUGUUGGCCAGGCUGGUCUUGAACUCCUGACCUCAGGUGAUCCACCUGCCUCGACUUCCCAAAAUGCAGGGAUUACAGGUGUGAGCCACCGUGCCUGGCAGGGCUCCCUUUUUGACAGACACUGUCUUAGACCUCAGGCUCCCUCAGGCCUUCGCUCUUGGGGGUUGGAGCUGAGGGGAGGAUGGAAAGUGUCCCUCCCCAUCACAGCGCAGCUAGCUGGUGAGAGGGGCUGGGAGCUCCCGGAUCUGUCUGGACAUGCAGCCACUCCUGGCAGUCCCCACCCCUCCUUCCACCCAGCCCCUCUGCCUUCCAGCAAGUGAAUGAAGUCAGGCAGGCCCUGGGCCAUCCCGGGUGAAGGAGGGAGUGGGCAUGGCUUGGCACUCCAAGGGCUCGCCAUUGGGAGGGGCGUGGAGACGGUGUGAACUCCUUGGUGUCUUGCUCUUGUCAUCUUCCAGCAUGACAUAUGCACAAAGGUACCUUUUAUAGGUGGGAAAUUAUAGGUGCUGCCACUUCAAAGGCCUUGGCAACCAGAGCUCCUCUUUGAUAGAUGACAGUAUUAUUAAUGGUGAUUUAUUGCUGGGGCCAUUUUGACAACAGAAAUAACCAGUUUCCCCACCUUUUCGGCUCUCUUCUCCCACACCUUCCUGGGGAUUUUUUUUUAUUUUGGCUGGCCCUGUGUGUUUUUCUGGCUGCAGGGGUUACCUCCCUGCACGAGGAGGCAUGGGAGGUAACCCAUGGAGCAUCUGCUUAAGGCACAUAGUGAGGCAUCUGGCUUAUUAACUUGUCAUCAUGUGUCAUAAAGUUUAGUGAAAUGCUGGCAGAUUGUAAUCCUAAACAGGGCAAUUACCCUCUUAUUAAAGCAGUACUUUUUCUGUCU
rnacentral:lncRNA from 1 species